UUGGUCACACAACCUCAGUACGAGUCCUACCUACCCUGCUCUUUUUCCAUCUAUCUCUCUGAUACAGUACGUUGGGGGUCAAAGUGUGUCAUAUCAGAGUACAGGUCAGCAGGUUGUAAUUGCAUUGUGCUGCCUGUGUUGCUGCUUGUCUCCAGACGUUUCUCAUCACAGAAAACAUUGCCCCGAGGCUAUGCGCUGGAAUGCCACAGGGGGCGCCACCGGACUGAAUGUGGCAGCAAUGGACGCCUUUACAAAUCCCUGUAUGCCUUCCAGAUAGCCCAGUACAUCACCACUCAGCUACAGAUGGCACCACAAGCACACUGUGCAGGAACCAGCUGCCAGACUGCAGCCUGGAGGAGCCCCACAGCAGUCACCCUGACAGGAGCUACGGAGACAGAUCUCUACCAGGGUGCCCUGGGGCCCGAAGAAAGAGUUCCUGCAGAGUCUGGUGAGAGCCAGACAGUCUGGAAUAAUCAGCCCUCACAGGGUGUCAGAUGCCCUCCUGUCAGGCACCAUGUCCCCUCCCCCAUCCAGCUCGGUCCCCUCCCUGGGGGUUGAGGAGUGGGGACAUGUCAGACCCAGGCGGGGAGCAUGAGGGGCUGCGCUGGCACUUCAGAUACGGAUGACAGUGGAGAGCUGAGCGAACGUGAGGCCCAGCCGCUCCGCCUCUACCUGAUCAGGAGGUUAAAGCCACGUUGCUGUGCUGAGAAGUUUGCCCAGUACUGUGACCGCCACAGGGAGCGCGGCCUCACCCUGUCUGGGGCUGGGAGGUGGGUUUGGUUCUAGGAGAGAGUUGGGUUUGAGUUUUGAGAAAAAACAUCUGAAGAGGUGAUUAAGAUUUGGAGGGUUAAGAUUUGGCCUUUUGAUAUGUUUAGUUUGUUACCACUUUGAGCUGAGAGGCUUUGAGUUGUGAGAUCAGCCCUUCUGUAUAUGCUAUGUAAGACCAACUGUAUUUGAUGAAAGUCCAAGAUCGGUUUAGAAAACCACUCAGGGGUCGUUUAAGUGGAACACUUUAUUUGUCGGUGUCAGUGCCAGGUACAUGCUUUGUCAGAGAAAAAGAGUCAUUUCAAGCUGGGAAAUUGGAUCUCUCUGCUCUCUUCUUCAUGAGUCACAUUUGAAGUAGUGCCAGGAGGAGGAGAGGUGGGGGGAGUGUGUGUUGUAGAGAUGAGUGAGGCGGAGGUUAAGUAAAUGACUAUCAGUGAAUCCACAGAGCGAGAGAUGGGUACAGAGAUGGGUACAGAGCAUCGGAGAGACCAGGAACCGAUGGAGUGGAUUGAGGCAUUUCUAAGCUCUUCCAACCCACUGCUUCUCUCUCCCUAGGCCUGUCCACAUUGUAUAUGUGCUCUACUGUAUCUUAGCAUAAAGAUGUGUUGAGAUUAGCCCCGUUAAAUUACAUGGAGGGUGAGGAAAUACAUGAUCUCUCUUAAGGAG
rnacentral:lncRNA from 13 species